rnacentral:ncRNA from 1 species
ACAAGCGCGAUGAAAAGUCUAGUACCUAUGAACUGGAUUUCAGAGAGGCGAUGGAUGGUGUGAAUCGCCACCAGGAGUAGCGAAUCCAACUUGGAGCGGAGCGGUGAGGUCGAUUGGAGACCAGAACGCAUACGGGAGCGAGCCGUUAUUGCGCAAGCGAGUGGAUCGAUGAUCAGUCGAUCAACAAGGGUGGUAUCGCGGAAACCUUCCGUCCCUUAG